rnacentral:rRNA from 1 species
UGGAUCCAGACUUUGAUCAUGGCUCAGGAUGAAUGCUAGCUACAGGCUUAACACAUGCAAGUCGAGGGGAAACGAUAUUGGAAGCUUGCUUCCGAUAGGCGUCGACCGGCGCACGGGUGAGUAACGCGUAUCCAACCUGCCCAUCACUUGGGAAUAACCUUGCGAAAGUAAGACUAAUGCCCAAUGAUAUUUAUAGAAGGCAUCUGAAAUGAAUUAAAGAUUUAUCGGUGAUGGAUGGGGAUGCGUCUGAUUAGCUUGUUGGCGGGGUAACGGCCCACCAAGGCGACGAUCAGUAGGGGUUCUGAGAGGAAGGUCCCCCACAUUGGAACUGAGACGCGGUCCAAACUCCUACGGGAGGCAGCAGUGAGGAAUAUUGGUCAAUGGGCGAGAGCCUGAACCAGCCAAGUAGCGUGCAGGAUGACGGCCCUAUGGGUUGUAAACUGCUUUUAUAGGGGAAUAAAGUGAGCCACGUGUGGUUUUUUGCAUGUACCCUAUGAAUAAGGACCGGCUAAUUCCGUGCCAGCAGCCGCGGUAAUACGGAAGGUCCGGGCGUUAUCCGGAUUUAUUGGGUUCAAAGGGAGCGU